rnacentral:rRNA from 1 species
GACGAACGCUGGCGGCGUGCUUAACACAUGCAAGUCGAACGGAGUGGAGAACGGGUGAGUAUUACGUGAGUAACCUGCCCUCAACUGUGGGAUAAGCCUGGGAAACUGGGUCUAAUACUGCAUAGUUGGGGAUGGGCUCGCGGCCUAUCAGCUUGUGGGGGGGGGGGUGGCCUACCAAGGCGGUGACGGGUAGCCGGCCUGAGAGGGUGGUCGGCCACAUGGGGAGGGGGAUACGGCCCAGACGCCUACGGGAGGCAGCAGGGGGGGAUAUGGCACAAUGGGCGUAAGACUGAUGCAGCGACGCCGCGUGAGGGAUGAAGGCUUUCGGGUUGUAAACCUCUUUCGGUACAGAACGGGUAUGUGCAGAAGAAGCGCCGGCUAACUACGUGCCAGCAGCCGCGGUAAUUC